GACUGCAGUCAGACCAUUGGAGAGAAUCAUAAAGGGCAAGGGAAAGAAGGAAGGACAGGUCACAUGUUAAGAGAGGAAAAGGAGAUAAAGCCAGGAUGGCUUCAGCUACUGACUCCUUGUGGAAACAAAGCUUCUAUUAGCCCAUAGAAAAUGAGAAGUCUCCGAGGAUACUGAAAAAGGUUAUCAUGUGUUCAAGGAGAUGGAAAUAAGAUCCUUCCAGUCAUUGCCUGUGAUUUACACCUAGCUCCUGUACACCUCUCACCUUGGAAUCCUUCCUCCUAUCUCCCCUUCAAAGGAUGCUUGUUUCAUCUCAGAGAUGCUGGUAGGUUAAUUGCUUGCUCCCCACAUGAAAACAAGCUCCAAAAAAAUGAAUAAAGGACAAGGGACUCAACUGAGUGACAGAAGACAAUACAAGAACUGAUGUCUGACAAAACUGGAAUGACACCUCUGAUAACAGACUGGCACAGUUAGCAUCUUCUUCCCAAGCACUACAAAUUACCCAACUGUGGGGGGGAUGGGCAAGGCAGAAAUAAUCACUACCUGCAAAACAAUUUCACACUAGAAUAAACAGAGAAGAGAUAAAAUAAUAAAUGUAUUU
rnacentral:lncRNA from 1 species